rnacentral:rRNA from 1 species
UACAGAGGUCUCAAGCGUUGUUCGGAUUCAUUGGGCGUAAAGGGUGCGUAGGCGGCGCGGUAAGUCGGGUGUGAAAUCUUGGAGCUUAACUCCGAAACUGCAUUCGACACUGCCGUGCUUGAGGACUGGAGAGGAGACUGGAAUUUACGGUGUAGCGGUGAAAUGCGUAGAGAUCGUAAGGAAGACCAGUGGCGAAGGCGAGUUUCUGGACAGUUACUGACGCUGAGGCACGAAGGCCAGGGGAGCAAACGGG